rnacentral:rRNA from 1 species
GGGUUGUGAGGUUAAGCGACUAAGCGUACACGGUGGAUGCCCUGGCAGUCAGAGGCGAUGAAGGACGUGCUAAUCUGCGAUAAGCGUCGGUAAGGUGAUAUGAACCGUUAUAACCGGCGAUUUCCGAAUGGGGAAACCCAGUGUGAUUCGUCACACUAUCAUUAACUGAAUCCAUAGGUUAAUGAGGCGAACCGGGGGAACUGAAACAUCUAAGUACCCCGAGGAAAAGAAAUCAACCGAGAUUCCCCCAGUAGCGGCGAGCGAACGGGGAGCAGCCCAGAGCCUGAAUCAGUGUGUGUGUUAGUGGAAGCGUCUGGAAAGGCGCGCGAUACAGGGUGACAGCCCCGUACACAAAAAUGCACAUGCUGUGAGCUCGAUGAGUAGGGCGGGACACGUGGUAUCCUGUCUGAAUAUGGGGGGACCAUCCUCCAAGGCUAAAUACUCCUGACUGACCGAUAGUGAACCAGUACCGUGAGGGAAAGGCGAAAAGAACCCCGGCGAGGGGAGUGAAAAAGAACCUGAAACCGUGUACGUACAAGCAGUGGGAGCCUCUUUAUGGGGUGACUGCGUACCUUUUGUAUAAUGGGUCAGCGACUUAUAUUCUGUAGCAAGGUUAACCGAAUAGGGGAGCCGAAGGGAAACCGAGUCUUAACUGGGCGUUAAGUUGCAGGGUAUAGACCCGAAACCCGGUGAUCUAGCCAUGGGCAGGUUGAAGGUUGGGUAACACUAACUGGAGGACCGAACCGACUAAUGUUGAAAAAUUAGCGGAUGACUUGUGGCUGGGGGUGAAAGGCCAAUCAAACCGGGAGAUAGCUGGUUCUCCCCGAAAGCUAUUUAGGUAGCGCCUCGUGAAUUCAUCUCCGGGGGUAGAGCACUGUUUCGGCAAGGGGGUCAUCCCGACUUACCAACCCGAUGCAAACUGCGAAUACCGGAGAAUGUUAUCACGGGAGACACACGGCGGG